rnacentral:tRNA from 1 species
AUUUAAGUAGUUUAAUUUAGAAUAUUAAUUUGUGGUAUUAAGGGUAAAAGUUUUUCUUAAAUU